rnacentral:lncRNA from 1 species
UGGGGAAGCCAACCUGCUUCCUGCUGGUGGGUUUCCAGACUCCACCCGCAGGAUUGUGCUUAGCUGGCCCACGCCUGGUGGUAGAUGACGGGGACUUAGAUACCUAAGCAUCUGGGAAUCGCUAACCUCCAGACAGAUAAAGACACCAAGUGCAUGGCAGGAUCCUGGCAAACGGCAUAUGGCAAAUGCUCACACAAAAUGUGCUGGCUUGAUCAGACCAAUAUGCUCCUGUCAAGAGCAGCAGAACUCGUAGACUCAGGGUGCAUUCUAUCCAGGUUCCUAAACUGAGCUUGGAAGGAAGAGGAAAGAGCUGCAGAGGCGGAGACUCUGACCCCAAAGCGAUCGAGGGCCCUCCCCUGGCUUCCGUGUCCCUGUGGCAGGCGGUGGUGGUCGAAAUCUCUGCCCCUCAGAGUCCUGGGGAGGAUGGAUGGAACAGGAGGAGCAUCAUGAGAAGGCUUCCUGUAAACUACGGAGGGUGAGGGGACGGAGCGUGAGGGAACGUCGUGAGAUGGGUGUGCACCACCGGGCCUGGUGGAAAGCACAUUGUAAAAUGCAAAAUCGUCUGCAAAAGCAAUAAACACUGGCCAAUGAUGAUGACGUUAUGCUAAGUCCCAGAGAACAAGGAAGCCUGUCCUCCCAGGAUGGGCCACAAGAGGGCGCCCUAUGCCCCUAACCUGAGUCACCAGCCCUUUGUACCACGUUUCCUGGAGCAACCGCCCGCCCUUCCUCCUUUUUGUGCUCGUGGAAGCCAGCAGAGGGUGUAGGGUCUCCUGGAGCCACAUCUCUGGAGUUACAUGAAGUUGUGGACCUCUCAACAUGGGUUCUGGGAACUGAACCCAGGUCCUCUGGAAGGACAUCGAGUGCUCUUAACCACUGAGCCAUCUCUGCAGCCUAACCCCAUCCCUUGGAGGCUGAAGCAAAGCAAGUUCAAUGACCGUGCGACCUGGCUCUUGUUUGGGCCUAAGGAAAAGCCGACUGUAAGCCGGGAAGCAUCUCUGGCAAGAACAAGGAAGGAUUAAGCACGUCUGUGGUUGUGCGCAGGGAUCACAAGGUGCUCCUGCAGUGGGAAGAGCCACCACUAGGGGCGCUCCAAGUCUUGUAUUUUCUACCUUGAAAACUCGUUUCCCUGUGGCUGCCCUCCAAAUCCAACGGAGAUGAAUGGCUUUUAGUUUACCUAGCUGAUUUAAUAAACUUUAAAAAUAAA